GCGGAAGUCCCAACCCAACACGAAGCGCGGAAGGGCUAGCAGUUUGGAGAUGACAGUUUGUACUUAAGCGCAGGACAUGUAACACCAGAAAAGUUUUUUUUUAAUCUAACCUCAAAGCUUUUGGAACAACUCUGGAAACCCAUGGCUUCAAAAUCUUCAUGUUGCACACAGAGCUGGAAUCAGAAUCAUCCCCCGGAUUUGAAAAAGAGUCCUAAGACAGGAAAGGCUACAAAGAUGAGUCUUCUUCUUUGGA